UACGUAGGGGGCAAGCGUUGUCCGGAAUCAUUGGGCGUAAAGCGCGUGUAGGCGGUUUCGUAAGUCUGCUGUGAAAGUCGGAGGCUCAACCUUCGAAAGCCGGUGGAUACUGUGAGACUUGAGUACGGAAGAGGAGAGUGGAAUUCCUGGUGUAGCGGUGAAAUGCGCAGAUAUCAGGAGGAACACCAACGGCGAAGGCAGCUCGCUGGGACGGUACUGACACUGAGGCGCGAAAGCGUGGGGAGCGAACAGG
rnacentral:rRNA from 1 species